UAUGUAUGUAUCUACGUUUUGUCUGCCAGAGGGGUGAGUAGCUCCACGAGGCCUGAUGGCCCCACAGGGGCUUGCUGACCUGACCUGACCCUCUUGUGCCGCUGCUGCUGCUGCUGCUGCUGCUGCUGCUGAUGAUGAUGAUGAUGAUGAUGAUGAUGAUGAUGAUGGUGAUGAUAUGAUGGUGAUGUGGUUGUUCCUCAGUGCUGCAGCCCAGCCGCUGUAUCCUGCUGCCCUGCGACCGCAACGGCCAAGGAAGGAAGGAGCGCGGGUGGGGAACAGGCCCACACACGAUUGGUUGGAAUAAUCAUAAUUAGGAGAAGCGGCCAUCUGCCCCUAGGCUUGGGCGCUAUCGAUAUGUUGUAUUGUUUGCUGGUCUGUGGCCGUAUGUGACCAAUUCAUGUUUCUGUGGUGUCGCAUCGUAUUAGUGAGUGUUUCGUAUCGCUCGUACCAUGUCGUAUCAUCGCACAUUGUGUCGUAUAAUACCUUAUUGUAUGUAGCGGAAACCCUAAUACGACAAUAUUGGUGGGUGAAGCGGAGGUGUUGACCUCCAGCGAGCAGGCAGUAUGCCCGACAUCAGAGGCCGGUGAGAGGCCCCCCCGGGGGGUUUCCUUGUUCGGGCUUGGGCGGGUGCGGUGGUUACGUUGACUAGAUAGGUAGGUAGGUGGGUAGGGGGGGAGGGGGGGGUGACCAAGCUUUCGUUCUUUAUUUUCGUUGGACAUGCAAGUGCACUUCCAGAGGUCGUCCAGGCGUCGUACGGCAUUCCGGUUGCCUCCCGGGUGCUUGGCGACUGCGGGUGGUGCGACCAGGAUCUGAUCAUGGCCAUGGUCUUGAGCAUUGACAGCAGCUGCCGCCACGUACGGCACUCGCUUCCAGAGUGUGCUUUUAUUCGUGCGGGACAUCCGUGCAUUGCAUGCAUGAAUGGUAUGAUAUGAUAUGCGAGGGGCUGGAGAGAAUUCGCAGCCGUUUUCGCCAAAAAGAAUCAACGCGAAGCGAGUUGUUUGGGCGUUGUGCAAGUAUGACUGAAUUCCGUUCCUAUAUGGCUGGUGUGCGGCGACCUGCUGCUGCUGGCUCGCUCCGCCGGUGGGUCCUUUGUGUACGACACAUAAUACAGCAUACUACUUACUGUUCAUACUGUUGUGCAUGUUAACGGCGCCAUGGCAGCCGAUCCAAUCGACCCGACCGGGGGGGGGGG
rnacentral:lncRNA from 1 species